rnacentral:rRNA from 1 species
UGGGGAAUAUUGCGCAAUGGGGGAAACCCUGACGCAGCGACGCCGCGUGCGGGAUGAAGGCCUUCGGGUUGUAAACCGCUUUUGAUUGGGAGCAAGCCUUUUGGGUGAGUGUACCUUUCGAAUAAGCGCCGGCUAACUACGUGCCAGCAGCCGCGGUAAUACGUAGGGCGCAAGCGUUAUCCGGAAUUAUUGGGCGUAAAGAGCUUGUAGGCGGUUCGUCGCGUCUGGUGUGAAAGCCCAUCGCUUAACGGUGGGUUUGCGCCGGGUACGGGCGGGCUAGAGUGCAGUAGGGGAGACUGGAAUUCCCGGUGUAACGGUGGAAUGUGUAGAUAUAUGGAGGAACACCGGUGGCGAAAGCGGCUCUCUGGUCUGUAACUGACGCUGAGGCUCGAAAGCGUGGGGAGCGAACAGG